CCCCAAUGGGUUCUCCGGAUUUCUGGAGACUUGUAGGGGUUGUGGGAUUUUUGAUGUGUCGUCUCCGGACGGGCGGUGCAGGGUAGUCGAGUUAGACUUGGUGGAAUUCCGUCGAUAGGAGUUCCGUCGAGUCUGGUCGGCUGUGUGUUGGACGGUGCAGGGUAGGCUGCUUGGACAUGGUCGGUUCGAGGAUCGAUUCGAGGGCCGGCGCCUGUCGAUGAUGUGUGAUGUAUGCGGUCUAGGGUAGGCUGGUUUGUCUUGGUUCAAUUUGAUGUCGGCUCCCGUGCAGGGCAGAGUGAGGGGGGUCCAGGGUAGGUACAGGGUAGGCAGCUUAGAUUUGGUCGAUCAGGAGGUCGAUUCUCUGGCUGGCGGAUCUGACACUGUCGAAACGAGAUGCGAGCGGUGUAGGGUAGGCUAGUUUCGUCCUCGCCAGGUUGCGAUUUGGACGAGACAUGUGGUUUAGGGUAGGCUCUAGGGUAAGUAGAAUUCGAGUUUCGUCGCCGACAGUUUUCUGUGGGUGUAUGGUAGGUACAGGGUAGGCAAAUCUCUCUCCGGCUAGUACUUGUCUGGUGGUCGUGAGUCGAUUUUUUUGUUUUGCCAUACUAUUGAAUUUUGCGGAAAUUCAAAAGUGGCUCGGGAGUCCCGCCUGGCGUGCGUCCGACUCGAACAUCGUCGGUGUACAUAUGAGAGGGAGUAAUCCGGCCCGGCCGGGGCCCAUCGCGAGCUGCCGGGUAGGUAAAAGUAAAAAAGUUGUUAAGAGGCGCGGUGUCGGCGUGCUUGUAUUUGCAGGAGAGAAUUAUCAGGGGGUGCUGGGUAGCCGGGAAGACUUGGACGGAUCUGGCCCGGGAAUGGGUCUGGGCCUGGAUUCUGGUGUGGUGUAGGGUAGGCGUAGAUAGAUGAGUGGUCUAGGGUAGAUACAGGGUAGCCAGACGUCUGGUAUAUAGUAUGGGGGUGUAGGGUAGGUCUGGACACCGUUUUCCACUUCGCCCUUCCCUUUAGUCGAGGGAGGACGAUCUUGGCUGGGACGGAGGUGUAGGGUAAGCUUAAUUUACGAUUAUAUGAUCUGUGUCACUCUAGGGUAGGUGAAAAUCCCAUAUAUAUCUGAUCACAUUUGGUGAAGAGGUGGUUUGGCUGGUGAGAUGGACAAAAGUGCAAUGUAGAAUUAUAUGUGAUUUUGCAAAAGUGGGUGUGAAAUUGGAAAGUCGGUUUUCCCGCACAGAUGAGAGCACGUUUGAGGUGCCAUGAGAUGCACCUCUCCGAGACGACCUCAACGGUGCCACCCAUGUGUUGGUCGGGCUCCUGUGCGGCCGUCCAGGGCGGGAUAAGUAGAGAAUGUGGUGGUGUAGGGUAGGUGACCAGGUCCAGGGUAGGUUCGCCAAAUCCGUCAAUCCGGCUUGAAUCGAAGGACAGGUCUAGGGUAGGCCAGAGUCGGGUCUAGGGUAGGCAACCCUCACCCUCGAAGUGGUCUACCCGGUAGCCAACUUCAAUCGCCUCUCACGGCCGCCACGGACCUCGAAUGACGACGGGACUACCACCAUCGGAUUCGCCUUGGUCGAAAUAGCUGGUAUAUGCACUUUUGGAAAAAUGCGUGCAAAAUGGUUUUGUGGUUUGGUGGCCGUGAGUCGAUU
rnacentral:misc_RNA from 1 species